rnacentral:rRNA from 1 species
CACUGUUCGUCACACCAUGGGAGUCAGUUGCUCUAGAAGUCGGUGCGCCAACCUCGGAGGUAGCCGCCUAAAGAGUGACUGGUGACUGGGGUG